rnacentral:rRNA from 1 species
UACGAAGGGGGCGAGCGUUGUUCGGAUUUACUGGGCGUAAAGGGCUCGUAGGUGGCCAACUAAGUCAGACGUGAAAUCCCUCGGCUUAACCGGGGAACUGCGUCUGAUACUGGAUGGCUUGAGUUCGGGAGAGGGAUGCGGAAUUCCAGGUGUAGCGGUGAAAUGCGUAGAUAUCUGGAGGAACACCGGUGGCGAAGGCGGCGCUCUGGACCGAGACUGACGCUGAGGCGCGAAAGCGUGGGGAGCAAACAGG